rnacentral:rRNA from 1 species
GGGUACCGUGACUGAGAGGUUGACCCGGCGCAUCGGGACUGAGACACUGCCCGGACUCCUACGGGAGGCUGCAGUAACGAAUAUUCCGCAAUGGGCGAAAGCCUGACCUAGCGACGCCGCGUGUGGGAGGAAGCCCUUCGGGGUGUAAACCACUGUCAGGGAUUACCAAGCGAAGUAGGCGAAUAGCCUUCUGCGUUGAGGCGUCCCAGAGGAAGCCACGGUUAACUUCGUGCCAACAAGCCCCGGUAAUACGAAGGUGGCGAGCGUGGUCCGGAAUCACUGGGCCUUAAAGGGCACGCAUGCGGACUGUCAAGCGUCUUGUGACAGCCCCCGGUUUAGCCGGGGAAUUGCUGGGCGAACUGGCAGUCUCGAAGGCAGGUAAGGGCGACCGGAACUCUUGUUGGACCGGUGCAAUGCGUAGAUAUCAAGAGGAACGCCGGAGGCGAAAGCGGCUCGCUGGGCCUGACCUGACGCUGAGGUGCGAAAGCCAGGGGAGCGAACGGGAUUAGAUACCCCGGUAGUCCUGGCCAUAAACGAUGUCCACGAGAUCGGUGAACAUAUGACAGUGCGCCGGUCGAUACACAAGCGUUAAGUGGACCGCCUGGGGAGUAAGGUCGCAAGGCUAAAACUCAAAGGUAUUGACGGGGGCCCACACAAGCGGUGGAGCAUGUUGCAUAAUUCGAUGCAACGCGAAGAACCUUAUCCUGGACUUGACAUGUUAGGAUGCCUCCCUGGAAACAGAGGUUGGUUGCCCUUCGGGGUGAAACUUUCACAGGUGUAGCAUCGGCUGUCGUCAGCUCGUGUCGUGAGAUGUUGGGUUAAGUCCCGUAACGAGCGAAACCCUUGUCGUUAGUUGCCAGCGCGUAAUGGCGGGGACUCUAGCGAGACUGCCGGUGUUAAACCGGAGGAACGGUGGGGAUGACGUCAAGUCCUCAUGGCCUUUAUGUCCAGGGCUGCAAACGUGCUACAAGGGAGUGUACAAACCGACGCAAGACCGCGA